CGUGCACACGCGUUGCCCCAGCACAGCCCCACACCCCCCUCCCCCGGUGCGGUCGCGGUGCUCGGUGGCAUUGGGUGGGUGUCACUUUCUGGAAGGGUGUGUUUGUCCCCAAGGCGGGCUGGGAGCACGGCAAGACCCCAUCAGGGUGGUGGGCACCCGGCUUGCGUUUGCCGUGCCUCUUCUGGUCCAGGCUGGAUGGACUGACGGACACCGUGCGCUGAUGCGCAACUCCAAGGGCAUCUUUGAGCUUUUGCAGCAACGGCUGGUGGGAGCAGUGAAUUCCUGGAGAGAUGUUUGUUAUUUGGUCCUAGCUGCUUCAAGAGCCCAGUCUUGCGUUGUUCAAGCUACUGAAGGCUGAGGUCUUGGCUCGUGAGCGACUCUUUAGCACUCCCAACUGGAACCUCACACCAAAAGGCACCAUGAUAGUGAUGACCGAUGUCACUGCAGCCCCCAGAUUGGGGUCAACU